rnacentral:tRNA from 1 species
GGAGAGGUGGCUGAGUGGUCGAAAGCGCACGAUUGGAAUUCGUGUAUACGUUAAUAGCGUAUCGAGGGUUCGAAUCCCUCUCUCUCCGCCA